rnacentral:lncRNA from 10 species
GGAAAUCAAGAGCCAUGAUUUGGCAGCUUCCCCAGGAGAGAGUCCGGAAAGACCAGGGACAAUGAAAGUGGAGGAGCAGCCAGGAAAGGAGAAGCCACUGUGUCUGCAGGACAGGGGCUCCCAGAGCAAAGGGGAGAUAAAGGGGACACCUGUGACCUCAGGGAGGACACUGCACAUGGCAGGGACACCAUUUUAGCACAACUGGGUGUGUGAGGAGAGGGCACUGUGAGAAGUCAAGUGCCUGGAGCUGUGGCAGAGAAAGAGGCAGCAUCUGCAAGAGCUGAAGACCCUUUCAUUCCAGGUGUGAGAUCAUGGUCACUGGCUCCUGCUGCAUGUCAGCGUCUCCCUGUCACCCAGGCCCGCCCCAUCGCCAGGUGGCUUUGCCAGAUUCAUCUCUGAAACCACAACAAGUGCGUGGAGCAGCUAUUUGAGCACCAGGAAAGGAAAUUGUACGCAGUGGUUUGGGAUGGCCCCAGCAGAUGAAAUACAACAGUCAGUGUGAGACUCCUAUUUUUUCUCGGUGUCCCCUGGCAGGAUUCCAGACAGCCCCAAAUCUGAAGGGGCACAAACUUGAAAACAAAAAGAAGUCCAGAAAUCCCUCUUGUUCAGGAUUGAGGAUAGGAAAGGAAACUUCUUCGGCUCAAAGUGAAGGCUCAGUCCCCUACUCCACACCCCUGUUCUCAUCUCUCUUGCACCAGUGCCUCUCCCUGGGUUCACACUGAUAUCCUAUGGAUGGAGAUGAUAUUUCCUGCACCAGGUCACUCCACAGCCCCUGUUAACCUGAAGAGGUGCAGACCAGCACUGUUCAAUCACAGUAUGAUGAGCCUAAUGGGAAUCCCACUAGGCUAGUCUAGUCACCACAUUAGACAUAUAAAGAGAAGAAGGUAAAUGACUUCAAAUAAUAUAUUUUAUUUACCUAGCAUAUCAAAAAUAGUGCCAUUUUCAUAUGUAAUCUAAGUAUGAUUGUCAUGCAAUAUUUUAGAUACUUUUUCACAGCUAUUAUUACUAUUUUUUGAAGAAUCUUUAUGUGGAGAUUAUGUGGCUGAUGGAGAUGUGGAUGGGUUUCCUGUUCACAGGAUGAGAUGUAGUGGCUUUUUAAGUGACAACUUUGAUAGGCUGAAGAAGGGGUGAAAACAAUGAUUUUUUUGCACAGGAUAUACAGAUUGGAGGUGGGCAGUGUCCAUCCUGCAGCUCACCCUCUGGGUGCAUCUGUGGUCCCUGCAUGGGGCGAGGCUGCUCCUGCUGCCCCUGGAUUCCUGCAGGAGGAUCUGACUCCAACUCUCCCUCAGAACCCAGAGCAUCUGGCAUGUCAGUCUCCCUUUUCAUUUCACACAAAUGAAAAAAAAAACCACUCAGGUCUCGCUGGGCAUUUGCAGACUCGCAGUGGUAAUUUAAGAGUAAACUGAUGCUUUCUAGUGUACAGUGGCCUCUUCAGCUCCCUCAUGGCCCGUGUUGGGGAUGGCUGGUGAUCUUAGUUUGGGUUCCCUGGAAACAGACUCUGAGAUGGAGAAUAUCAUACACAGAUGAUUAAGAAAGUGAUGGAGGCAACACCAGGCAGAAGGAGGCCCUGACACAUAUUGAGGCUUCAGUCAGCCCUACAAGGAGCUAUGGAUCUUGGAGGAUUUUCAGGUCCUGUUAUACUGAGGAAGAGUCUUGAGACCUUGGCCACAGGCAGUCAUGAAACCAAACCUCCCUGAGAAGAGACAUAAACCUGGGGGAGGCAGAUUUCUGCACCGAACAGCUCUGAGCUGCCAGAAGCUCCCAGGAGUGCUGUGUGGGUGAGCUCAUAAGAGGGGAUCUGGGAGGAUCCCACAGUGUCCACUCCACUAGUUUUUCUGUAGAGAAUGACAGGAGCCUCAGCUGGGCAGUUCUGGGGACUGAUUCAGGACAUUUCGGCCAAGGACUGGCCUAUCACCACCUAUGGAAAUCCAGAGAUAACUGAGGAUAUUGACCUUGGUCUGCUUGGAAGAUCUAAUUUCCCUGAAUCACAGUGGAGUCCACAAAACCCCAAUACAUCCUGGUCACCUCAGCCCUAAAUCCAUUCUGGAUGCCCCCUCUGCACAGCCUGCCUGGAGGGCUGAAGGAAGUAAAGACUGGGGGUCUCAGAUCCAGGUGAACUGGGUCAUGCAUGCUCAUGGCUUUGUCCACAGUGUUGCCGGGCUGGAGGACGACAGCAGCACAGAUGGGGAAGGGGUCUGUGUCUUACUUCCUUGUCUGCCUCUGUCACUGUGUGCAGUGCCACUGCCCCACACCUGAGAGGAAAGCCUCGUCCCCAGCCUGGGCUCCACUGAUGGUCAGGGUGACCAUGUUCCCCGAGUUGGAGCUGGAGAAUCACUUAGAGAUCCCUGAAGGCCAUCUGCUAUCCCCAUAGAUGACCUGCACAAGGGCCUGGCCUGGUUUCUGCUGGUACCAUUAAGCAGGUUUAAUUCCAAUAUUAUUUCCCCUACAGGUGAUCCUGGGUGUCUGUCCUGGGGCCACUGACACUGAGGGUGGCUGUGUCAGCACAUAUGAGGCCACAGAGCCUGCAAGGAGAGAAAAGAGGAGCGAAAAGGCCUGAAACUCUGGGGAUUAACCAAAGAAUAUCUUGCCACUUGCCUGAACUGACCUGAGCCCCAGGAAUAAAAGUGCCCUUAGGGCACCAAGAGAACAGGAGCACAGUGUGGGGGGAUUUCUGCCCCACCAGCCCCCUGCCCUGCGGCAGGUUCAUGAGCAUCCUGCCCACCACAGGUAGGGCCCUACUGAGCUCAGUGUUAGGGCCAGGCUGGACCCAGAGGCCUGGGGCUGGGCAAGUGAGUGAGACCCUGGGGGCAGCACCUGUGCAGUGAGGGAGGAGGCCGAGGAGGAAAGGGGUCCAGGCCAUGGCUGAGGCACCCCCGAUGCUGCUUCCCAAGACCCAGGCUGAGCAGGUUCCUCCCAGGCCUCUCUUAUCCCCUUGCUGGAUAAAGCGGCCAUGAUGCAAAUCAGCAGAGUCAGGGGCUGCUGCUGGAGUAGCUCUGUGGUUUUUAGAGAAGGGCUCAGCCCCAAAGGGCCCAGGAAGGAGAGGAGUGGUCCCAGCAGACCCACUCUCAGCACACGGGUUUCUUCUUCCUCUCCUGGUUCUAUUCUGGGCCGACAUCUUCACCCCAAAUUGUGUCUCAAACUGGCUUUACUCCUGGGCUGUCCUGGCCCUAUAGAGCUCCGAGGUAAGUCUGUCUGCGUUUUUGGGCUCCAUUCUACAGGUGCCAAAACCAGGCUUUGAGAAGUUCUGGGUCUUGCUCUUGAGCACAGCUCCUGAGCUGCAGAACUUGAAUAAAAUUUCUCCCUUGCUAAGUGAACAUGGAGGUUUUUAAUAUCCAUGAAGCUUGUAUAAGUUUUUGCCCUUGGUGGAGCUUCAGGGGAAGGCCCUAGGAGCUGUGCCUCAGUGUCCCCACUAUGCGUUUAGGGCCAGGUACAAAUCUGCUGCUCUGAAAGUGUUUGACAGAUCCAGAGUUUUAGCAUAAUUGGGUGGGCUGGGAUGCAAUGUAGUAUAAGACUUGAACUUGUUGCUGUGAAAUAAGCAAAUUCUAAAAGAGCCAGAUGUAAGAGACAUGGGGCAAAAGAGUUUGUACAUCAAUGUUAACGAUGAUACUCUAGAAAAAGAAGGACAUUUUUCCCCCCAGUGUUAGGUCAUGGUCACUGACCCUCCCUGCAUGUCAGCAUCUCCCUGACAUGCAGGUCCAGCCCAGCUCCAGGCGGCUUUGCCAUGUGACUCUCUGUUGACCACUGCUGGUUGCUCUUCACUGACUGCUGGAGGCUCAGACACCACCUUGGUCUAGGUGUAGAUUCAGAAAUUACUCCUCAGGUCUAGGAUUUCUUGAUCCCUGAACUGCUGGCCCAAAGGGAGGAAUUAUUCUUCUCUGUGUGGCCUGUCUGCCUUACGACCAAGCAGGAGGUGCUCAGUUCCCAAGAAAAUGCAAACAUGCUUCACCAGGGGCGGAAUAUGCAGGAGCCACCUGAGGCAUCUCUGCACAUUUCAUUCAGAAAUGUCUUGACAUUUUCAGUGUACAAGAAGUUCAUCUUCUUGGAUAAAUUUAUUUGUAUUCUUUUUGGUGGUCUUGUAAAUAGAGUUACUUUUAAAACUUCUUUUUCAGAUGUUCAUUGCUGGUGCAUAUAAAAUAUGAAUG